UCUAGUGUUUCUCGUUUGUAAGUUUCGUAGCAUUUUCAUUGUGAAUCAGUGAAUAUUAAUUCUUGAUACUUCAGUGAAUAUUAAUACUUGAGCAGUGAUCGGAACCCCCGAACCCCGGCUUGUACAAUGAGUUUUUCGGAACUUAUGUACCUACGAAAUAAUUUGAUAUUUACCAGUUGCUUUUCAGUGAAGGAAAACAUCGUGAGGAAACCGGACUAAUCCCAGAGGGAUAACGCGAGGAAGAAGGAGUCAGUAGUGAUCGAGCCUUUGAAUGUCACAAUGCGGUAUAUUCAAAUUAAAAAAAAAAAAAAAAAAUUAAAAUAGUAAUAUGGAUGUAUAUGCCUAAAUUUAAGGCAUAAUAAAGGCUUAAAAACCCUACUUCUUCUUCUUCUUCUUCCAGUGCCAUCUCCUACCGGAGGUCGGCUAUCAUGAGGGCUAUACGAACUUUAGACACAGCUGCGCGGAAUAAUGAGCGUGUGCUCUGCUUGAACCAUGUUCGGAGAUUUUGGAGCCAUGAGUUACGUCUUCGUCCGGAUGAUCUUUUCCCUUGGAUCUUUCCUUGUAUAAUAAGUUGAAGGAGUUCAUACUUCUCGUUUCGCAUGAUAUGACCGAGGUACUGUAGCUUGCGUGUUUUGACGGUCUUUAAAACCUCGACCUCUUUAUUUACUAACUGCAGCACUCUCUCGUUAGUUAUUCUAUCCGUCCAUGAUAUUUUCAGGAUUCUUCUGUACACCCACAUUUCGAAAGCCUCCAAGCGUUUACACAUAUUCUUGGUCAGUGUCCACGAUUCUACUCCGUACAGAAGAACCGAGAAAACAUAGCACCGUGCUAGCCGCACCCUAGUAGAAAUCCUCAACGAACGGUUGCAGAGAAGAUGUCCGAGCUUCAUGAACGCAUUACGCGCCUGUUCAAUUCGACACUUAAUUUCGACGCUGUGAUCACUCUGGUCGUUUACAAUGCAUCCUAAGUACUUGUAAGACUGGACUCUUUGAACUACCUGAUUUCUUACAACUAUAUCAGCUGUUACAGAUGUUCCUGACUUUAAAACCCUACACUGAGAGAAAAAUCAUCACCAGGAAUUAAAAAACAGUUCUGUACUGGGGGAAAAAAUGAAGUUUUAGUAAUAAUUAUGGACGUUUCACUAUUUCUGUAAAGUUUAUUUAUUUCUACAAACAGCUCAGUAAUCCCAAAUAUAAUUUCAACAAACAGAUAAUAUUAGAAAUUGCAAGAACUAAUAGCAAUUGCAAAAGUCAAUUUGUUCCUAUUAGUUGACUCUCCUUGCCCCCGGAUUAAGUUUAUAUUUGUAAUUCUAAGUGUGUUUUUGUUGUACUUUUCUCUCAGUGUAUUUUAAACUACCGCUUUUUCGCCUAUUUAAGUGUCCCACUGCUGGGCAAAGGUCUUCCCCCCUGAUAAAAGAUAAGUAACUUCCGAUUUUUUGCGUAAAAGUUGGUAUGGAACCCUCCGUGCGCGAGUCAGGCUUGCUCUUGGCCGAUUUUUACUAAUUAUGUUACUUCAUACCUACGUACUAUAUUCUUUCAGUUACAUUAUCAUUGAGUGCCGCAAACGAAAUAUCUGGGGGGCUUCUAGAAAUUAUCCUCCACUGCUCUCAGCCCUGGUCUCAAGAGCUCGAGGGGCUCUGUCCAGAAGCCUGCAGACGGUGGCCACAGCACUGCUAUUACGCGAUCGCUGCAGAUAAUGGCGUUCCAGGCACCUGCAAGCUUCCACCCUACCCUCGCAUCGGGGGCUACAGCAUAGUGGACAUCGAGCCCCGCGCCGAGUUAGCCGAUUUUAGCCUCCUCUACUCUUGCCCGACAGGCUACAGUCUCGACGGGCAGCAUCCGCGCUGCGUGGGCGGUAGAUGGACUUCUGAUGGCUUCCCGAGCUGCAAGCGAGACUCAAAAUGUCCGCUGCCCUUGCACCCGAGCGUAACUUACAACUGCAUCGAAACACCGAGAUGUCCAAACUUAGUGUCCAGCGGACAGCGCGUCCUGCCUGAAUGUAGACCCGGGUUCGUGCAGGACGCGUUACGGGCCAUGCAUUGUAUUGAUGGCAGUUGGGAUUAUGUCGCUGUUUGUC